UACCAUGAUGACUUCUUUGUUAUUAGCUCUAUCUGAGUUCAUCGUGAUGAACACAACCAAUUCACCUUGGAGAACUGAUCA
rnacentral:snoRNA from 1 species